rnacentral:SRP_RNA from 1 species
CCGUGCUAAGCGGGGAGGUAGCGGUGCCCUGUACCCGCAAUCCGCUCUAGCGGGGCCGAAUCCCUUCUCGAGGUUCGUUUACUUUAAGGUCUGCCUUAAGUAAGUGGUGUUGACGUUUGGGUCCUGCGCAAUGGGAAUUCAUGAACCAUGUCAGGUCCGGAAGGAAGCAGCAUUAAGUGAAAUCUCUCAUGUGCCGCAGGGUUGCCUGGGCCGAGCUAACUGCUUAAGUAACGCUUAGGGUAGCGAAUCGACAGAAGGUGCACGG